ACAAAAAAAAAUCAUACCCUGAACAAGUCCAAUCUCAUCUGAUCUCGGAAGCUAAGCAGGGUCGGGCCUGGUUAGUACUUGGAUGGGAGACCACCUAAGAAGACCAGGUGCUGUAGGUG
rnacentral:rRNA from 1 species